UGUCUCUCCAGUCUCCCUCCAUGUUGGUCACGCACCACCACCCUAGAGCCUCCCAGAACCACGGAUGAAAGCAGCACCACCACCCUUAAACCCCCUAGAACCACGGAUCACAGCACUACCACUCUUGAGCCUCCCAGAACCACGGAUGAAAGCAGCAUUUUUGGCUUCUCUCCUGGUUUGGUGUGUUCUCCUGUCCUCACCCUCCUGCUAGCUUUGAUGCUUUUGAUAACUUGAAGCACAUCUCGACUCAGCUCAUGACGGGACCAGUAAAUGUGCCACAUGCAGAGUAAUUCAGCAGAUUUUACAUUUAUUAACUUUUUUUGUUAUAAACACAAAUAAAAAAAGUGGUACACAAAAGGGUAAAAACGAUUGGUGGAUACUUUAUACUGGUGGGAGUUGUUGUAUCACAACUUAAAACAGCAUGUGUAAGAACGUAUGAAAUACCUGUAAUACUGUGAUGUUUGGUGUUGUGACCAAAUGUUUGUUAGUACCAAUGUUAGGGAUCAUGUAUGUCAGGGUUAAACUGAUCACUACGCAAUUGAUUAUUAAAACUACAUUUUUAUUC